GUUGACGUCAUUGCCGGUAAAAGCAGAAAGAAUUCGCCUGCCGUCAGAAGUCGAAGGAUGUGAAGUUUGCCGAGCUAUAAAGCCUUUUUUUGGGAGAUUUUACAGUAAUCAUACAGUUUUAAGGGUGCAUUUGAUAUCUAUGUUUUUUUAAAUUCACGACUAUAAUCAUCAUAUGCCCUUUGAAUCGUCUGAACUUGCUCAAAAGGAUAAGGUUUUUGUAUGCAUCUUUUUCACUAUCCGCUAUUGCAAAAUUCAGUUUCUAUCGGGGAUUAAAGUAUGAGACAUUCAUUCUUUAAAGAUUUAAGGCCAUUGCUGAGUCCAGUCAGCUGAGUCAUGUCAGGAAUUGUUUAUGGAUUAAUCACUUAAUUCCGGAAAAUCUUAGAGCACAUGUGGCAUUCAGAAAAAGCUUCCUUACUUGGCAUAUUGCUGCCUAACUUAGUCAGUCUACUGAAGUACUAAUGUGAAACUAUGAGCUCUUUGUACUGCACUGGAGUUUUUCCAUUAUAACACUGACAGCGACCAGGUCAAGAAGUUUUUUCCAUUGUGGUAUUCCUAAUUUUAUGUAUGGAAAAAGUGAAUAUUUCUUUCUCCACUGACUUUAAAUCCAGCAGAAACUGUCCAAACACUUAAUUUAUCUUUAUUUUAUUUUACCUUUCCUCCUUGGGUGAAACAUUCUAACAUCUCAGUAUUUUUCACAUGGAAUUGAAUAAAAAAACAAAUAGUACCUCUGCUAAGUCUGUGCUUUCUGGUGCUGAAUGAUUUGGGGAAAAUCUGUUAUUGCCAUUUGAUUUAUGAUUCAAUGUUUUUCCUGUUCGUUAGUCACCAGCACACCCAGUGUAAAGAAUUCCUGCAUAUGUCUGAAAAAAAUGCUUCACAAAGGUUCAGUGUACAUUUUGUGGCUUAAGGAUAUUAACAAACUAACCUUUGGUGAAGUAUAUCCAAGUAUUUCAUGUUCUUAUUAAAUUUUCUGCUGGUUCAUCACAUAAUCUGUCAGAGCAGCUCGUAGGACAGACAGAAAUUUCAUAUGCAGUCAUGUUUCAUACCCACUCAUGUUCAGGAAGCAGGAAACGCUUCACACAUAUGACUCAUGGCAAUGGUUACACCUAAAGGUAAAUCACAACACAAAAUACAUUCAAUGACACAAAAAGUGGCGUUUUUGUGGUAUUUACGGCAUUUCGCAAUUUGGACAGUAUUUCAUUCUUUUAUCUGAUUUGUCAUUAGAAGGUACGUGACACAAAGGAUGUUAUUCGAGAAACAAAUGUUGUUCUUGGGAAACAGCUGUGAACAAUUAUCUCUUUGGUUAAUCUGAACAGAUCUAGUUUGACUGACGACUCAAAUCAUGUGAUUCCAGCGUCUUCCUUCAGUCAAGUUUGGUCCUGCUUUGAAAGGACUACAAGGGUUCAUCAUCAGUGUAAUCGUACAUCAGUUUCUUAAACUGUGGUUGUUUCUAUAAUAAAAAAGGCCCUUAACACCAGCACACACACAAUAAAUCAAGGCUUCAGGUACUUUUGAUGCAGUCAUAGAGCUCUGGGCAUUACUCCUCUGUGGACAAAAGUGUCUACAUUUUGAACAAAAACAACAGAAAUACAAGUGAAGGAGGGUGGAGCAGAGUUGGGACACAUAUCUGGACCAUAGCCUUGCUACCAUAUGUACUACGGUGUCACACCUUAAUUUAUGUGACUCAGACACACAGACCACAGCAGCUCCAAAGUAACUUUAUGGAAUAAAUGAAAUGCAAGUUUUAAUGAUAUGGACUCUCCACUAUCAGUAAAACUGAUAAAACCCUUUAGAUCAGAGGACAUGUUUCAACUCUAUUUCAUCUUUAGACUUGUAGACACCAGAGUGACUCUUUCACCAUGUUUUGUUGACAUGGUAUUAGUGUUAGUGACCUUGUCCCUCAUUGCAACCCAUGUGCAGUUAACUGAUGACUUAGAGGUUAAUGCGUCAAUGAAGCCAAUGAAAGGCAUAUGCUCAACCACUGGACAGUUUGUCACAAGAUAAACACAUGAUAGAAAGAAAAACAAAUGGGUCAUGAUGUUGACUUGUGUUCGAAUGACAUCAGUUGUGAUCGUGGUAAAGAAAUAGUCCAGCUCUAAAGACCUCCUUUUUCUUAUUUUUAAACACACAGAUGUACAUAAAGAUUAAAAAAUAUAUAAAAUAAUAAUUGUAACAAUGGGCUGUACAGUGGCCUAGUGGUUAGAAUUUUUGCCUUGCAGCAAGAAGAUCCCUGGUUCGAGUCCCGGCCUGAGCCUGGGAUCUUUCUGCAUGGAGUUUGCAUGUUCUCCCUGUGCAUGUGUGGGUUUGCUCCGGGUACUCCGGCUUCCUCCCACAGUCUAUAUGGUGAGGUUAAUUGAUAACUCUAAAUUGCCCGUAGGUGUGAAUGUGUGUAUGCUUGUUUGUCUGUAUAUGUAGACCUGCGACAGACUGGCGACCUGUCCAGGGUGUCCCCUGCCUUCGCCUGAGUCAGCAGGGAUAGGCUCCACCACCCCCUGCGACCCUAGUGAGGAUAAAGCGGUGUAUAGAGAAUGGAUGGAUUGUAAGAAUUCCAGUUGGAAUGAACAAUUAACCAAUUUUUAAUUUAAAUUUGAAGCAAUCCAAUUAGUAAAUCCCACAUGCUGCAGUUUAGAAUCUAAAUUAUACAGCACAGCACGUCUGCUCCAAGAUUUAAUCCUCCCUGUCUACUUGUGUCUUGACAUUGUCGCUGGAACCCCCAUGACAAACACUCACUGCAUCAGAGUCCCUGAAGGUGAGAUCUACGGACACAGUGAGACCUCAGACUCUUCUGAAGAAUGUCUGUCUGACAGGUCAGGACAUGGUUUUUGGUGAUUUCACCGGUGCCCUCACUGGAGCUCUCAUCUUUGGCUCAGUCAUCCUCAACCGCAACCUCCAUCUGGACGCUUUGGCAAAGAAAACCAAAUUUUUAAAUGAAAAUGAAAGGCAAGUAACUUCUCAGCAACAGCAUUCUGACCUUUACUGAGUGACCUUUACACACCUUGCUGUAACACUACAAAUCAAAGACAUACUGGGAAUCUGAAAGCUAAAGAAUCAAAUAACGGUAAAAUACAGUGGAAAGCUUAGUUUUCCACAUCAUCUCAUACCAGCACUGAGCUGUGUCUACUUUAACUUUGGACUGCCUCAGUUUGGUUAAAUAGUCAAUAAUAUAAGAUGAAAGCAGGAUGUUGCAUGUCUGAGUAAUUAGAAGUUUCAGCUGUCCACCUGAACUCUUCUAAGCUAACAUCAUGUAUUCACAAAACUAUAAUCUGUUAAGUCUUUGGUUGAGAUUCUGAGGAGAAGGACUGAACAGAUGGAACUAGAAUUCCAGGCCUGCUUUGAUUGAAGCUACAAGUUUUGUGGAAAUUUUCAUAUUUUCUUACUUUUCAACAUUCAAUCACGGUCAAAGCAUUAUCUCUGCCUGAAGAUCAUCAAGUCUUCUUUCUGUCUCUAGUGCUUAAAAUCUUGAUGUACCUGACAUCGGCAUCUGUCAGCCUUCAUUUUCGGCCUCUUCCUUGGCAAGUGCCAGUCUCUGCAAUUGAGUCCAAGGCAUACAGUACUUGACUACGCUGUGAGAACACUUUAUGUCUUCCUGUGUUUGUCUCAGAGACCAUCCAGCAUUAUGAAGUGCUUUAAUUCAGAAGAACCGUGGAAUGACAUGUCCAGUUCUUCAGAGUAAUACUUUGUCAGCCCACUUUUCCACCUUCUCCCUCCAUCUUUUAUUUAUUAUUGCAGAGUUAUUGCUCUUGUCUAUGUGAGAAACACCAAUACGACUGAGCUUAGUAUUUUCACAGAAGUUUCUUGAAUCAGUUGUGAACAGUGAGACUGAAAGUUUGCUAUAAUAUUCACUGUUUAACUGACAAAUCAUUGAAUUACACAGUUGUGUAAUGUCCGGGUGCCAACACACAAGGUCUGUCUGACAAAAACGAUUUCAUGCUGCACUCAAAAAAAAAAAGAAAAAACAAGGAGAUAGAAAACAGCUCAGAACAUAAACUAGCUCACAGCAAUCAGUCACACAGUUAGAUUUUUAUUCCUGUUUCAUUUAGUAAAGGACAGAAAGAGGGAAAAUGUCAAAGGAUUAUAACUUAAUUUCUGGAAACAUGGUGCAAGUAGAAAUAAGAUGAUGGAAAAUAUGGUUUUCGAAGGCCUUUAAGAUUUAAACAGCUGUCAGUUCGAGGAGUAUUGCAUGAAAAUGUUGUUCCGCUGUGCGAUGAGAAUACAUCUAACUUAACUUUGAGUAACACACAGCUCACACAGCAGAGUCCUUCUUGCAAUAGUUUCAGGAUUAGACGUGUUUUUAUUAGUCAAACAUGACUUUUUAUUCCUCUCUAAAUGGACCUGGAAACAACUCCCUGUAAAAACAAUGUUGCAACAUCAGCUCCAACAAGCCCUCUAUACUUAGACACCCUGCUUUAGUAGCGGGCUGUGCGUGGGCUUUCCCAGCCCCAGCCAAAGUGUUUGUGUAGCUGGUUGUGUUUAUUUACUCUGGUCUGAGGGUGCAGACUGCCAGGCUGUGCUGCGGCGCAUCACCGUCCGACCUGCUGGGUCCACUUUCAGCGUACCACCUCAGCAACAAGACAGGCGUUGUGCCGUCUGUAUUUUGGGGCCUGGGGUCCUGGCCAGCGGUCACUUUCAGCAGCUCAACCUGGGAGACCUCUGGCCUUUAGCAAAGCAUUGUGGGGUUUGAGAGUGCACGAUCAACAAACAGACUGACCAAACAUCACUCAGCACUUGCUAAAAAAAGGGUUACCCCAGAGAAAAGGGUACAAGGGGUUGGUUCAGGGCAACUUGACCAGCCUGAAACAGAAAAAAAAGAAAAAUGCACGUGAACCUUGUGUAUGGUUUCUGGUUUAUUGGGCUCCAUUUCCACAGUAACACACUUUGGCUUUUCAGUCUUGACCUGGACAUUUUCCCCCACCGUGUCUGACUGCUAAUAAAAGUCGGUGUUAAAUAAAACUUAAUUCCCAUCUUGAGUGCGUUUUUCAUCCACAUAAGCAACCCAUGAGUUCCAAAUAUACACGAUUCUUAGAACAAGCUCCGAGUUAAAGUCUGGAGUAUAUUUGGAGGUGAUUGGUUGUACUUUUCUGUUGAGGUAUGCAUGUCAAUCGUAUUUCACGACCUCAUGGAUUCCUUCAGAAGCAGCAUUUUGGGGGGACUCAUAGCCGAGCUAUUGCGCAACAUCCUGAGAUUAUAUAAUACUGCAUGUGAGUUAAUCCAGAAAAUGUACAGAACACUGUAAGGACAUUGUAUUGAGACUAUCGCAACCCAGACACAUAAAUAUUUUGCUGAUUUUGAUUUGUUUUUACACCAUUUGACCGCAUGAUAUCAUGGUUGUAUAACACAUGUUACCUGACAGAAACUCACAGGAGGACGUAAGACCACCAAAGUAAUCAUCACUUUCCUUUGAAGCUUUUGGCACAGCUGUCGAGACUAACAGCGAAUAUUCUGACUAAUACAACGUCAACAGACGAGUAAGUCGGUGAGGCGUCACACAGGAAUCAUCUCUGAUACACCUGUUUGUGUAACAUCUGCUCUGUCCAACUCCCUUCACAAGCAGAAACAGGUUCACUGUAAUAAUGGGUUAUUCAUCCCAAAUCAUCAGGGGCCUUCUGCUCGACCACGUUUAAUUUGCCUGAAACUUUCUCACCAGAAACAAUGGAUUUAAAAUUGUGAAAUUAUAGUUGGAUUUAUUAAAUACUUUGCAAAACUUUUAAAUCACCUGCUAACCCACUUGAGCAUGUUUUUUUGUUUGUUUGUUUGUUUUUUUGGACAUUGAAAUUUGAGACUAUGUUUGAAAGACAAUAUCUCAAGAACUAUUAAAGAUAAAAGCAUGAAAU